GCCGCCUGGGCGCUUUAUGGCAGUCGACGAUGCGUGUCCCAGGAAUUGUUUAUCCUUUGAUAGUAUUGUCUGAAGUUGUCACAGAUUUUUCUCGGUUGUUUUAAGAAAGAAAGGAAGGAAGGAAGAUCUUCAGGUAUCUCUUACUGAAAAGAAAAUCGCAGCAGGUUCCAUACAAAUAAGAAAGGAAAUAAAAAGUAGAAAACCCGCCGUGCGUGGUUCUGCGUAGGAAGAUUAAUUUAUUAUCCCGGUGGAACCAAGAGAUGGAUAGAAGGCAGCGGGCACCUGAGGCCUUGAUCUCCAGCCCUUCCUGCCCUCCUCCGGGGCUUAUCCGAGGCUAGACUGAUACAUCUGCUGGAAUUCCUGGCGCCUUCGAGUCCUGGAGCUUUCAUAUUCCCAGAACCCUCGGAACCUGAAGGCCAGGAGGUCCCAGGCUGCAGCAAGCUCG
rnacentral:lncRNA from 1 species